AGCAUGUAAAUUGCUGUUUAGAGGAGAGCCUGUAAAAUCAAUCCAGCCUUUCUCCCUUCAGAAAUUAAAAGCCAUUUAUUUUUAUUUUUGGCGAAUCCUGGAAAGCACGUGUCCCUCCAGCUCCUCUGCACUGACACCACCCGCGUUGCAUGUUUCCAGGACUUCAAGUAGAGAGUUUCAGGGGUGCAGCAAAGUGAUUCGUUACAUAUGCUGCUGCUGCUGCUGCUGCUGCUAAGUUGCUUCAGUCGGGUCUGACUCUGUGCGACCUCAUAGACUGCAGCCCACCAGGCUCCUCCGCCCAUGGGAUUUUCCAGGGAGUCCAGAUGACACAGUCAAUACAAAUCAGACUCCUGAGACACAAAGCAGGAUGCAGAAGACUGGAGACUGGACCUGGAGGGACACACCAAGAACAUCGAGCAUGUGUCAUAUCACCGUCUGACAUAUUUACCUGUUUGACUCUUUCCCACAAGAAUGAAAGUUUCUUGGGUUUCCCUUGUGGCUCAGUGGUAAAGAAUCCACCUGCCAGUGCUGGAGACACAGGCCCAGCCCUUGAUCUGGGAAGAUCCCACAUGCCCCAGGAUAACUCAGACCGGGCGCCACAACUACUGAGCCUGCGCACUAGAGCCCGAGAGCCACAACUACCAAAGCCACGUGACACCAGAGCCUGUGCUCUUCAAGGAGAGAAACCUCCACGGUGAGAAGCCUGUGCAGCACAAGGAAGAGUGGCCCCCGCUUGCUGCAACUACAGAAGUGUGUGCAGCAACAGAGACCCAGCACGGCCAAAAAUAAAUAAACUGAUUUUUUAAAAAAAGAAUGAAAGCUUCUCGAAAGUUGAGACCGUUGAGCUCAGGGCUGUGUCUCUGACAUCUAUUUUAGUACAUGGUGUAUAGUUGGUGCCAUCUAAUAUCAAAUAUGGUUAAAUGACUAAGUGGGUAAAUGAAUAAAUCAGUUGUUCUUAAGAAGUAUAUUGUCUAGCAUGUAGCAAAAAUAACUCAGAAAUCUUCCAUUUUAAGUAAUAUUUUAUUGAAUUCUUAUCUGAUACUUUGCUAAGAAUUUUACCAGUCUUGCUGCCAAUGAGAGAUGUUUUGGUUUAUAGACAAGAAGAGGGAUAUGCAUAUUUAUAUAAAAUAAAUAUAUGCAUGCAUAUAUUACAUGGGAAUGUGCCUGUGCCUAUAUAUAUAUAUAUAUGAAUGCUAUUUGUGUAGGAAUACAUGUAUAUGUGUGUAUGUGUUCAUUAGUGUGUUUGUGUAUAAAAUUUUUUUGGCCAGAAAGGAGAUAGCUUUCCGUUCAAUGUCUCAUUGGAAGAAUAUUCAUCUUCUGUCCUAGGAAGCAGUGCCAGAGACAGGACAUGGAAAGAGGUGUCAGCGGGAACCUUCCACAGUGCUGACA
ensembl:lncRNA